rnacentral:rRNA from 1 species
UGAUGAUCGGUGCUUGCACCGAGAUUCAACAUGGGAACGAGUGGCGGACGGGUGAGUAACACGUGGGUAACCUGCCCUUAAGUGGGGGAUAACAUUUGGAAACAGAUGCUAAUACCGCAUAGAUCCAAGAACCGCAUGGUUCUUGGCUGAAAGAUGGCGUAAGCUAUCGCUUUUGGAUGGACCCGCGGCGUAUUAGCUAGUUGGUGAGGUAAUGGCUCACCAAGGCGAUGAUACGUAGCCGAACUGAGAGGUUGAUCGGCCACAUUGGGACUGAGACACGGCCCAAACUCCUACGGGAGGCAGCAGUAGGGAAUCUUCCACAAUGGACGCAAGUCUGAUGGAGCAACGCCGCGUGAGUGAAGAAGGCUUUCGGGUCGUAAAACUCUGUUGUUGGAGAAGAAUGGUCGGCAGAGUAACUGUUGUCGGCGUGACGGUAUCCAACCAGAAAGCCACGGCUAACUACGUGCCAGCAGCCGCGGUAAUACGUAGGUGGCAAGCGUUAUCCGGAUUUAUUGGGCGUAAAGCGAGCGCAGGCGGUUUUUUAAGUCUGAUGUGAAAGCCCUCGGCUUAACCGAGGAAGCGCAUCGGAAACUGGGAAACUUGAGUGCAGAAGAGGACAGUGGAACUCCAUGUGUAGCGGUGAAAUGCGUAGAUAUAUGGAAGAACACCAGUGGCGAAGGCGGCUGUCUGGUCUGUAACUGACGCUGAGGCUCGAAAGCAUGGGUAGCGAACAGGAUUAGAUACCCCUGGUAGUCCAUGCCGUAAACGAUGAAUGCUAGGUGUUGGGAGGGG